GCUCAGGAGACACAGGAAGUUUUUAACGGUUAGCGGUCUUCAGCUAGCGAGCAGAGCCGUUGAGAUAUGGCUGUAUUUUGUUUAUUCUCUUUCCAAGUUGGUUUGAGCAGCAUUUCACCGAUGGCAUUGUCGAAGAAUUGAAAUCUGGAGCGCCAAGAGGAGCAUUUUUAAAAAGGUUGCAACACAGAGACCGCGAGAGUCACAGAAAAGCAGUGAUGGCUCCUGAAGUGAGUUUUCCUGACGCACCGCUCAGCGUUCUUCUUGGCCAGCACAGCCUGCUGUCGUUUCCUUUAGGACAAA